rnacentral:lncRNA from 1 species
AAGAAAAAGAAAACAGUCUACACACGCACGGUGGGGAGAAGGCGGAGAGGGGAAUGACACAUCUGCCAGCCAAGGAGGAGCACGUAUUCCGGCCACAACCAGGAGCUGAAGAGACAUGGACGGGUUCGUCCCUAGAUCCUUUGGAGUGAGUGUGGUCAUGCUAACACCUUAAGACGCCCAGCCUCCAGAAUUGUCUGCGCGGGCUCCCUCCUGAUCUUCACUUUCAUCCCGUCUUCACACCAUGCGUCCCCUUCCCCAGCGUUGACCCACUGUAACAGGAAACUCUGGCCCAGAAGAUGAAAGUUGAAAUAACUCUCGUUUAUUCCUGGAAGUUUCCAAAAAACUAUUUAAAUGAUCAUCGAACGGUUCAACUCUUCAACAGAAAACGUCAAAUGACAGUUUACUCCUCAAGACUCUGAGCUCCUCGCCUUAAAAAUGCUCCCCUUGCUGUGGCCACUGAUGCUGAGCUACGUUGUGGUCCUUGCCCAGUCCUGAUCCAGCCCGCAUUGGAAGACCUGCUUACACCAGACUCCGAAGCCUCGUACACACUCCCCUCCACCACUCUGCUGAGACUCGCUCUACUGAGAAAAGACUGAAGCGGCCGCGUCUCAUCAGCAGGCUGUUCUGGUGUACUGUGGGGAGGCAGCCUUCCACAGCCUCACCUGUCAUCUCAGCCCCUCCCAGGUCCUGGAGCCUGUCCUGACUCUGGACAAAGGGGAUGUGGGUUGGAGGGACUCGUCCAGCAGGACAAGGGCCUCAGUCUUACAUUCAGCAUACAUGGCCCUGGGUGAUCCGGGCUGGGUCUGCAUGUUAAUUCAAUUUAUUGUGUCUACCAUUUUUCAGGUCAGAAGCCAGGCAGUGGGAAUUAAAAGCUGAAGCAAUUUGAGGUCUCCUUACCUGCCCUCAGUCCACAGCUUAAUGGGGAAGAGAGAAAUAGAAACAGAUAAAAUACAACGUGUUAUGUGCAAUGACAUUAUAUAGAGAGUUCUUCUUAAACAGUUUGUGGUU